CCUACGGGUCGCAGCAGUGGGGAAUAUUGCACAAUGGGCGCAAGCCUGAUGCAGCCGUGCCGCGUGUAUGAAGAAGGCCUUCGGGUUGUAAAGAACUUUCAGCGGGGAGGAAGGUGUUGUGGUUAAUAACCACAGCAAUCGACGUUACCCGCAGAAGAAGCACCGGCUAACUCCGUGCCAGCAGCUACGGUAAUACGGAGGGUGCAAGCGUUAAUCGGAAUUACUGGGCGUAAAGCGCACGCAGGCGGUCUGUCAAGUCGGAUGUGAAAUCCCCGGGCUCAACCUGGGAACUGCAUUCGAAACUGGCAGGCUAGAGUCUUGUAGAGGGGGGUAGAAUUCCAGGUGUAGCGGUGAAAUGCGUAGAGAUCUGGAGGAAUACCGGUGGCGAAGGCGGCCCCCUGGACAAAGACUGACGCUCAGGCGCGAAAGCGUGGGGAGCAAACAGGAUUAGAUACCCUGGUAGUC
rnacentral:rRNA from 1 species